rnacentral:rRNA from 1 species
UGCGCAGGCGGGGCAAUAAGUCAGUGGUGAAAUCUUGCGGCUUAACCGUAGAACUGCCAUUGAUACUGUUGCCCUUGAGUAUAGUUGAGGUGGGCGGAAUAUGUAAUGUAGCGGUGAAAUGCAUAGAGAUUACAUAGAACACCAAUUGCGAAGGCAGCUCACUAAGCUAUCACUGACGCUGAGGCACGAAAGCGUGGGGAGCGAACAGGAUUAGAUACCCUGGUAGUCC